AAGAAACCUAUUUGUUCUUCUCAUAAAGUCUUUCUCUCUCUUAUCCCUUCUCCCUGCUGAAUUGGGUACCUGCACCCCAGAUUCUAGCCACUGCUUUGAGUUAGUCAUCACUGAGCACUCCUGCAUCGAUGAGCUUUGCAUGUGUAAAUAAACUUUCCCUCCAGUGAACCUGUCCUCUGCCAGUUUAAUUUGCAGGCCCCAGACGCUAAGCUUAAAAGGGUAGACAAAACGUCAUUUCCUCUCUGACACAGGCUUCUCGCCUUUCCCCAGCUCUAAGCUUUGGCCAACUCUGGAGAAUGGGAGUGUGGAACAACUUCUCACAAACAGCUACUCUGGAGAACGUUCCCUGAUGAAUCGUUUCGUCACACCGCACACCGCCCCUUCCUGUUUCUUCCUAGCCUUGUUUACUCCCCGCUGUAAGAAAGAGAGAAUCCCUUUCUGCUUGACUUUUGGGACUCUUGCAGAUCUCGUGGUCUGAGCUUCUCCUUGUUGCAGGACACCUUUCCCUGUUGCAGUAGGGGUCCUCCUCUUGCGGCAAUCAUCCUUCUGAAUAAAAGUCUCUUUUUACCUAAGUCUGAAUUUGUUUUUCUUUGGCAAUACACAGUGCCACAGCCUGGCCUGAUGGCGACCACCAGGGACCUAACAGACAUGGCCGGGUGGUGCUCUCAUCUGCUCUGGGUUGCCACCGAGCGAGCAACUCGGCUGCAGUGGAUGAAUAACAUUACACUGGAAAGAAUGGGGAAGGCUCAAGACACCCCCGAGUCUAGCACAACAAGGCUGGCAUAAUGUUCAUUUCCCUCCUUAUCAUGUUGCAGACACCAGACACAUUUUGACUCAACUCUACCCAACUUCGACAUGAAUCUUCAUUAAUAGGACAGCCUCAACCAUCUCGAACCCAGGAAGCAGGGAGGCGCGCGGAGCCCUGUUGAUGAUCCCCGGCAAACACACCGAGGUCUGCCUUCUCUGAACGCCAGCGCUUGGGUGCAGCAGAAGGGCCCCAGAAUCACUACAGUUUCCACCGAUAUUCACCCACAUCAUCUUGUUUUCGAUUUCCCCAGGGAAGAGAUCCACUCAAAGCCCUGGAGAUGAGCCUCCUCUGUGUCUCCAGCAUCAUUAUGCUUAGGUGACAGUGAGAGCAAGCAGAACUCCAUUGAUCAAGACUGACGGGACAUCCACAUCCCAUCCCGCACCCUCAUUACGUGGAGGCUGCAGCAUCAGGGAAGGAGUGAAGGAGAGGACUUGCUCUUUCCUUUGCUUACGUAAAGCAAAGGGUCAGGUGCAUUACAUUUGCCAAGCAGCACAUCCCGGUGCCUGGCACACAAGGCAGACGUUCUGUUGGUUCCCACGUGGUGGAAGCUGAGAGGGCAGGCCUGGGGCAGGCUGAACCCCCAUGGCACGGGGCCAGUGUUAAUCACAUAGCGCUCCUGGGCUUAUGGCGCUGCACUGACCCUAUGGUCAGUAUGGGUGCUGCGCGGAGCCAGUGACCUGAAACACAUGCAUCCUGGGGCUGCCAACAGGAAUCGGCACGAAGCCUCGCAGGGCCUGGCCCAGCAUGCAGGCUGUUUCCUUUUGUCAUCUCCACAGCAGAAACUUCCAGGAAUCCUCCAAAGGAAAGCCAACUGUUCUGCCGGCAGAGGAAAUAAAGGGAAGGUAAAGAGGCCUUAGAAAGUGAAGAGUGGCAUCAGAGAAGGACAGGUAUGGAGAGGAAAUCUGGACUCCUGCCAGCAGGCAUGGGACCUGCACCACCAAGUCGGUGCAGACCCCCUGGGAAGUGGAGAACCUGGACUUUGGGUUAUAACCCAGAGUAUACAAGGAGCAUACAUGUGUCCAUGCCUACAGGGGAGUCUCCAUCUGCUCCCUCUGGAAAGAGGAUGAUUGAACAAAUGAUUGAAUAAAUCAAUAAA
rnacentral:lncRNA from 10 species